UACGUAGGUGGCAAGCGUUGUCCGGAAUUAUUGGGCGUAAAGCGCGCGCAGGCGGUCCCGUAAGUCCGAUGUGAAAUCCCGCGGCUCAACCGCGGGCGGUCAUUGGAAACUGGGGGACUUGAGUGCAGAAGAGGAAAGUGGAAUUCCACGUGUAGCGGUGAAAUGCGUAGAGAUGUGGAGGAACACCAGUGGCGAAGGCGACUUUCUGGUCUGUAACUGACGCUGAGGCGCGAAAGCGUGGGGAGCAAACAGG
rnacentral:rRNA from 1 species